rnacentral:misc_RNA from 1 species
UGACGAUGCAGGACACCUCGCCGUGGUACGACGGUCUGGUGCCCACUCUGCGGGAAAUCGAAAGAGCCUGCGGCCUGCCCUCGCGUAUGCGCUGCGGACCUUUGGUGUCGGCAGACAAGCCUGGCCUGGCGCCUUACCGGGGAGACUAGUGGUUAUGGUCAGGCGUGUACCAGCCCACUGCGCAUCCUGUCGGCUACUCGGCAACUAUAGCAGGCUAUGGGUACGUUGAGCGCAGACGCAUGCUCAUGCGUGGGUUUCUUCCGCCUGUGUGACACCCACUCGUGUGAGAGGCGUGCGGAUUCAGAAGAAGGUGGAACGCCCCUGCGGCCACAGACGGAGGGCAGCGCCCUACCUGUCGCGUCACAUGCGGGCAAGCCAACCCCAGACACGCCCCCUCCCCAGGCAACAACGCCGUCCUGAAGCUGGCCACAGGAUGCGAAUAAAUGCGAGCACUGUGCGCGCUGUCAUGCACAGCUGGCAUGGCGUAUCACGUCCGAAGAAGGCGCCCGGAGGCCGGGGGGCGGGGGAACGCGCGUGAUGGGCGACAAAGGCGCAGAAGUAUGCACACCGACCAGCCCCACAGCGCAUGCGUGCGAAGUGUGCGGCGUCUCCUGCAUCCGAUCGGGGUGGGCUGAUGCGGCGCAGGUGCCGGAAGCGUCCGCGGAGCACCCCGAGCUACACCAUCGAGCUCUCCAGACUCCAUUGUACAGCGUCUCGACACUAUAUUAUGCAAUGCCGCGGCCUGAGGCGACUGAGGGUGAAGCAUGGCAUACGCAGGCAGGAUGCUCAGGGCCUCAGAGUGCCCUGGCUUGAGGCAGGCCAACUUCCGCCGUGAGCUCGUGCGGCGUGCACCUAGAUCACCGCUUCCUCACUACCCGCACGACGGGAGCCGCUGCUUCCGUCCUGGAACAGGGGACUUGGUGCGGCCCGCUUGCAUCACGACAUUGCUGUCCACCCAGGCUCGUCAGACGCAUGGCCCGGCUUGGCGGCUGCACAGCUCGUCCGAGGCGACGAGGCUCUGGCCGUGUGCCUACGAAGACAGAUGAGCUGCGCUUGUAUGUGUAUACAUUUGCGGACGGCUGAUUGUGGAACGGACACACGUUGAUGAGGGAAGAGAAAAGCUUCCAUGUUGUUAUUGCGCGUUCGGGCUGCGCAGGUGGUGCGUUAUGGGCUUAACUGUCACGGGUAUGGCGGUGCUGGACGCCCGCGGAUGCGCGGCUGUGUGUAUUGUAUCGCUGUCCUUCUCCACUCCCGGUCAUUCCUCAUGCUGUGGCUUUGUGCGCUGUAGAAACGAGGUGCACGUUCUCCGUGGCGCACCGUGCUUCCUCGAACCUCUUUCACACUCGGUUUGGUGGCGCGUUCUCCAAAGCCUGUGUGCACAUGCUUGCGCCUCCUCGCGUCUUCUGUCCUUUCUUUGGUCUGUGCAGUGACUGUGCCAGCCAUGGAAAAAAAGUCUGCACAGGCCCACCGACAUCGAUCACCGAAGCGCCGUGCACUCUGCAGGUCGUGAGGCCCCACCCAUCAGAUUCUUGCUUAGCUUUUCCUUGCGGGCGCGACAUGCAAAACUGAACAGGCGUGUGCUGCAGCGUUGCCUCGUGAAGGAGCCUAUCAUCAUGCCAUCUGUGGCCCGCUACGUGCUGUAAAGGCUGCUUUGCCUGUACGUCCUCCACGACCGCGUUUCCUUUUUUUUCGCCUGAGUUUGUCGCUCUCUCUCUCGUUAUGUAG